rnacentral:rRNA from 1 species
GGAUUCCCCUAGUAACUGCGAGUGAAGCGGGAAAAGCUCAAAUUUAAAAUCUGGCGGUUUCACCGUCCGAGUUGUAAUUUAGAGAAGCGUCAUCCGUGCCGGACCGUGUACAAGUCUCCUGGAACGGAGCGUCAUAGAGGGUGAGAAUCCCGUAUAUGACACGGACUACCGGUGCAUUGUGAUGCGCUCUCAAAGAGUCGAGUUGUUUGGGAAUGCAGCUCAAAAUGGGUGGUAAAUUCCAUCUAAAGCUAAAUAUAGGCGAGAGACCGAUAGCGAACAAGUACCGUGAGGGAAAGAUGAAAAGAACUUUGGAAAGAGAGUUAAACAGUACGUGAAAUUGUUGAAAGGGAAACGCUUGAAGUCAGUCGCAUCGUUCGGGGAUCAACCUUGCUCUUUUGCUUGGGGUACUUCCCGUCCGAUGGGUCAGCAUCAGUUUUGACCGCCGGAAAAAGUUCACGGGAAUGUGGCAUCUUCGGAUGUGUUAUAGCCUGUGUUCGUAUACGGCGGUUGGGACUGAGGAAUUCAGCACGCCGCAAGGCCGGGUGUUCGCACCACGUACGUGCUUAGGAUGCUGGCAUAAUGGCUUUAAUCGACCCGUCUUGAAACACGGACCAAGGAGUCUAACAUGCCUGCGAGUGUUUGGGUGGAAAACCCGAGCGCGUAAUGAAAGUGAAAAGUUGAGAUCCCUGUCGCGGGGAGCAUCGACGCCCGGACCAGACGUUCUCUGACGGAUCCGCGGUAGAGCAUGUAUGUUGGGACCCGAAAGAUGGUGAACUAUGCCUGAAUAGGGUGAAGCCAGAGGAAACUCUGGUGGAGGCUCGUAGCGAUUCUGACGUGCAAAUCGAUCGUCGAAUUUGGGUAUAGGGG